rnacentral:rRNA from 1 species
UACGUAGGGGGCAAGCGUUGUCCGGAAUUAUUGGGCGUAAAGAGCGUGUAGGCGGUCCGGUAAGUCAGCUGUGAAAGUCAAGGGCUCAACCCUGGAAAGCCGGUUGAUACUGUCGGGCUAGAGUCCGGAAGAGGCGAGUGGAAUUCCCGGUGUAGCGGUGAAAUGCGCAGAUAUCGGGAGGAACACCAAUGGCGAAGGCAGCUCGCUGGGACGGUACUGACGCUGAGACGCGAAAGCUAGGGGAGCGAACGGG